rnacentral:rRNA from 1 species
UACAGAGGGGGCAAGCGUUAUUCGGAAUUCUUGGGCGUAAAGGGCGCGUAGGCUGCUUCGCAAGUUACGGGUGAAAUCCCUCGGCUUAACCGAGGAACUGCCUGUCAAACUGCGUGGCUUGAGACCAGGAGAGGUGAGUGGAAUUCCCAGUGUAGCGGUGAAAUGCGUAGAUAUUGGGAGGAACACCAGUGGCGAAGGCGGCUCACUGGACUGGUACUGACGCUGAGGCGCGAAAGCGUGGGGAGCAAACAGG